AUGUCACCGUGUGUUGGGAAGCGAAAGAGGGAGGCGGAGAAGGGGCAGGAGGUGCUGAAGGCACCCCAGGGAAAGGCUGUGAAGAAGGAGCCAGAGGAAACUCCGUGCACGGCGCAGCCCCCUGGGCUGAAAGGGAGGAAGAAAUCUGCAAAAGUCAAGGAGAAACCACUGCAGGAGAACAUCAUCAGCAGCUCCCUAAAGCACGAGGCUGUGGAAGGCAAAGGUCUCAGCCCAAGCCAGUGGGAUGGGAUCCGAGCGAAGGAGGCAGCUGCGUCUGGGUUGGAGGAGACUGAAUCCAGCCUUCACCAAGGGUCAUCAGCAGGGCUGGAGGACUCUUCCAGGUCACAGCCCAAAAUCUGGAGUGAGGGACCUGCAAUGGGACAGCAGCUCUUGGAGACCAAAGACAGAGUUGGGCUCCUGAGACCAAGCGGUGGUGUUGCUGGCAUGGCUGCAUCCCUUUCUGGAGAGCCUGGGGGUUCAGGGUUAUUUCUGGGGGUCACUGCUGUGAGGGAGGAGGUGGAGAAGGAGCUGGACCCCUCUGUCCCACAGCAGAAGGGGGAUGCCCGAGACCUGAAGAGGAAAAAAGAGAGAGAGAAGAAGCAAGAGCAAAGGAAGCAGAGGGAGAAGGGGUCGCUGAGAAAAGGAGGGAGCAAGAUGAAUGAAUUUGAGGAAGAUCUUGGGGGUAUAAUGGAGGGAUUCAAGGAUGAGGAUGGUGCUGAUGGGAAUGGAGACUGGGGAGUGGGACAGGGAAGAGCCAAGAGAGGGGGCAGCAGCUGUGCCCAGGGGAGGAGCAAUGAGAAGGAAAAGCAGGAGAAGGGGAAAGCAGAGAAACGCAAGAAGGUGAAAACGGAGGGGGAGGAGAAAAUGGGGAGGAAGAAAAUAAAAAAGGAAAAAAUGCUGGAAGAGGAGCAAAAGUUGGAAAGGACAAAUGAGGAAUUAGAAGCGGGAGAUGAACCAGGAGGGAUGGAGGGGAGAGAUGUGGUGGGAAAGGAAAGUGAAGAUGGGAAAGGAAUAAAGGAGGAGGAGGUGGAUGAGCAAGGGGAUGAGGGAUGGGGACAGGCUGAGAGCAUGGAGAUUGGGCUGGAGGUGAAGGAGGAAGAUGAGGCAGGGAAGGGAGAUGGGCCAGGGAAAGGGAAAAAGCAGAAAACCAAGGAGAAAAAGCCAAAAGAGAAAAAGGAGAGGGGGAAGAAAAGUGAAGAGAAGAGCGAAAAUGAGGAGAUCCCAGAGAAAACCCGGAGAAGAAAAUCUAAGGAGAAAGGAGAGGAGAAGAAAAACAAAAAGGCUAAAAAGGAGGAAAAAGAGAAAGAAAAGAAAGAGGCAGAAAAGAAGUGGAAAUGGUAA
rnacentral:lncRNA from 1 species